UUGCCUACGGGAGGCAGCAGUAGGGAAUCUUCCACAAUGGGCGAAAGCCUGAUGGAGCAACGCCGCGUGGGUGAAAAAGGUCUUCGGAUCGUAAAACCCUGUUGUUAGAGAAGAAAGUGCGUGAGAGUAACUGUUCACGUUUCGACGGUAUCUAACCAGAAAGCCACGGCUAACUACGUGCCAGCAGCCGCGGUAAUACGUAGGUGGCAAGCGUUAUCCGGAUUUAUUGGGCGUAAGGGGAACGCAGGCGGUCUUUUAAGACUGGUGAGAAAGCCUUCGGCUUAUCCGGAGUAGUGUAUGGGAAA
rnacentral:rRNA from 1 species